rnacentral:rRNA from 1 species
GACGAACCGUGCGAACGUUAUUCGGAAUCACUGGGCUUAAAGCGCGUGUAGGUGGGGCGGCACGUCGGCCGUUGAAAGCCCCCCGGCUUAACCGGGGAAGCGGCGCCGAUACGACCGCCCUCGAGGGACGUAGGGGGAGCUGGAACUUCCGGUGGAGCGGUGAAAUGCGUUGAGAUCGGAAGGAACGCCCGUGGCGAAAGCGAGCUCCUGGACGUUUUCUGACACUGAGACGCGAAAGCCAGGGGAGCGAACGGG